rnacentral:snoRNA from 1 species
GGUCUGUGAUGAGCAGUAAAAGGUCUGAUUACCCACAAUCCUCUCCUGCUGCCCUCUGGCUCCCAGCAGCCCCUGCUCUGUGCUCUCAUUAUGCUCUAGUGCUGCAGUGGUGGUCCCAGGAGCUGCUGACAGACAACAGGAUGUGACAUCACAGUGAGUCUGUACAGAGACCCUACAGGCUCAGUGUGAUGAUGACUGACAUCCAACAGAACCAAUCAGCAUGGAGUGUGAGGGGCAGGAGGAGGCGGGGCCUGAUCUCAAGUUUUCAACCUGAGACC